rnacentral:rRNA from 1 species
GCGGUUAAAAAGCUCGUAGUCGGACUUGUGUCCCACGCUGCCGGUUCACCGCCCGUCGGUGUUUAACUGGCACGCACGUGCGGACGUCCUGCCGGUGGCCCGAGCCGGCGCCCGCGGGUGAGGGGAGCGGUAACGUUCUCACACCCCGGGUCGUCUCGGGGAGGGCCUACACAAUCCCGUCGCGGUGCUCUUGACCGAGUGUCUCGAUGGGCCGGCACGUUUACUUUGAACAAAUUAGAGUGCUUAAAGCAGGCAGCAGCCGCCUGAAUACCGAGUGCAUGGAAUAAUGGAAUAGGACCUCGGUUCUAUUUUGUUGGUUUUCGGAAUCCCCGAGGUAAUGAUCAAAAGGGACAGACGGGGGCAUUCGUAUUGCGACGUUAGAGGUGAAAUUCUUGGAUCGUCGCAAGACGGACAGAAGCGAAAGCAUUUGCCAAGAAUGUUUUCUCUGAUCAAGAACGAAAGUUAGAGGUUCGAAGGCGAUCAGAUACCGCCCUAGUUCUAACCAUAAACGAUGCCAGCCAGCAAUCCGCCGAAGUUCCUCCGAUGACUCGGCGGGCGGCUUCCGGGAAACCAAAGCUUUUGGGUUCCGGGGGAAGUAUGGUUGCAAAGCUGAAACUUAAAGGAAUUGACGGAAGGGCACCACCAGGAGUGGAGCCUGCGGCUUAAUUUGACUCAACACGGGAAACCUCACCAGGCCCAGACACCGGGAGGAUUGACAGAUUGAGAGCUCUUUCUUGAUUCGGUGGGUGGUGGUGCAUGGCCGUUCUUAGUUGGUGGAGCGAUUUGUCUGGUUAAUUCCGAUAACGAACGAGACUCUAGCCUGCUAAAUAGUCGCAUCCGGUAUCCUUUGUGCUACCGGCGACUCUUAAUCUUCUUAGAGGGACAGGCGGCUUCUAGCCGCACGAGAUUGAGCAAUAACAGGUCUGUGAUGCCCUUAGAUGUUCUGGGCCGCACGCGCGCUACACUGAAGGAAUCAGCGUGUCCUCCCUGGCCGAAAGGUCCGGGUAACCCGCUGAACCUCCUUCGUGCUAGGGAUUGGGGCUUGCAAUUGUUCCCCAUGAACGAGGAAUUCCCAGUAAGCGCGAGUCAUAAGCUCGCGUUGAUUACGUCCCUGCCCUUUGUACACACCGCCCGUCGCUACUACCGAUUGAAUGAUUUAGUGAGGUCUUCGGACCGGUGGGCGCGGGGGUUCGCCCCUUCGAUUCCACUGGGAAGAUGCCCGAACUUGAUCAUUUAGAGGAAGUAAAAGUCGUAACAAGGU